UAAAUUGGUCAACUCUAAACUCAGUCAAAAUUAAUAACAUAAUGUACACAUGGCACCAACUGGUAAUCCAGAACCACACCCACGAGACAAACCCAGCCCAAUCCCAUACACUUUCCCAUACCCACUUCCUGCCACAGACUACCAUCAUCAGCAGCACCACACAUACACACACACGCAAAGAGACAGCGGAGUGUAAUCUAGGGUUUCAAAGCUCAGAGAGAGGGAGACGGCAAC
rnacentral:lncRNA from 1 species